UCUAUGCUGACGCGGAGGGUCAUUACCGAGUUUACAACUCCCAAACCCAAUGUGAACCAUACCAAACUGUUGCCUCGGCGGGGUCACGCCCCGGGUGCGUCGCAGCCCCGGAACCAGGCGCCCGCCGGAGGGACCAACCAAACUCUUUCUGUAGUCCCCUCGCGGACGUUAUUUCUUACAGCUCUGAGCAAAAAUUCAAAAUGAAUCAAAACUUUCAACAACGGAUCUCUUGGUUCUGGCAUCGAUGAAGAACGCAGCGAAAUGUGAUAAGUAAUGUGAAUUGCAGAAUUCAGUGAAUCAUCGAAUCUUUGAACGCACAUUGCGCCCGCCAGUAUUCUGGCGGGCAUGCCUGUCCGAGCGUCAUUUCAACCCUCGAACCCCUCCGGGGGUCCGGCGUUGGGGAUCGGGAACCCCUAAGACGGGAUCCCGGCCCCGAAAUACAGUGGCGGUCUCGCCGCAGCCUCUCCUGCGCAGUAGUUUGCACAACUCGCACCGGGAGCGCGGCGCGUCCACGUCCGUAAAACACCCAACUUCUGAAAUGUUGACCUCGGAUCAGGUAGGAAUACCCGCUGAACUUAAGCAUAUCUAAA
rnacentral:rRNA from 1 species